rnacentral:rRNA from 1 species
GACGAACGCUGGCGGCGUGCCUAAUACAUGCAAGUAGAACGCACAGUUUAUACCGUAGCUUGCUACACCAUAGACUGUGAGUUGCGAACGGGUGAGUAACGCGUAGGUAACCUGCCUGGUAGCGGGGGAUAACUAUUGGAAACGAUAGCUAAUACCGCAUAAUAUUGAUUAUUGCAUGAUAAUUGAUUGAAAGAUGCUAUUGCAUCACUACCAGAUGGACCUGCGUUGUAUUAGCUGGUAGGUGAGGUAACGGCUCACCUAGGCGACGAUACAUAGCCGACCUGAGAGGGUGAUCGGCCACACUGGGACUGAGACACGGCCCAGACUCCUACGGGAGGCAGCAGUAGGGAAUCUUCGGCAAUGGACGAAAGUCUGACCGAGCAACGCCGCGUGAGUGAAGAAGGUUUUCGGAUCGUAAAGCUCUGUUGUAAGAGAGGAACGGGUGUGAGAGUGGAAAGUUCACACUGUGACGGUAUCUUACCAGAAAGGGACGGCUAACUACGUG